CGGAGGAUCCAAGCGUUAUCCGGAAUCAUUGGGUUUAAAGGGUCCGUAGGCGGUUUUAUAAGUCAGUGGUGAAAUCUGGUCGCUCAACGAUCAAACGGCCAUUGAUACUGUAAGACUUGAAUUACUUGGAAGUAACUAGAAUAUGUAGUGUAGCGGUGAAAUGCUUAGAGAUUACAUGGAAUACCAAUUGCGAAGGCAGGUUACUACAAGUAUAUUGACGCUGAUGGACGAAAGCGUGGGGAGCGAACAGGAUUAGAUACCCUGGUAGUCCACGCCGUAAACGAUGGAUACUAGCUGUUUGGAGCAAUCUGAGUGGCUAAGCGAAAGUGAUAAGUAUCCCACCUGGGGAGUACGCUCGCAAGACGUG
rnacentral:rRNA from 1 species